rnacentral:rRNA from 1 species
UACGUAGGGGGCAAGCGUUGUCCGGAUUAUUGGGCGUAAAGAGCGUGUAGGCGGCCUUACAGGUCAGCUGUGAAAACUCGAGGCUCAACCUCGAGACGUCGGUUGAAACCGUAAGGCUAGAGUCCGGAAGAGGAGAGUGGAAUUCCCGGUGUAGCGGUGAAAUGCGCAGAUAUCGGGAAGAACACCCGUGGCGAAGGCGGCUCUCUGGGACGGUACUGACGCUGAGA